rnacentral:rRNA from 1 species
GUGAGGAAUAUUGGUCAAUGGGCGAGAGCCUGAACCAGCCAAGUCGCGUGAAGGAAGAAGGAUCUAUGGUUCGUAAACUUCUUUUGCAGGGGAAUAAAGUGCAGGACGUGUUCUGUUUUGUAUGUACCCUGAGAAUAAGGAUCGGCUAACUCCGUGCCAGCAGCCGCGGUAAUACGGAGGAUCCGAGCGUUAUCCGGAUUUAUUGGGUUUAAAGGGUGCGUAGGUGGUUUGAUAAGUCAGCGGUGAAAGUUUGCAGCUUAACUGUAAAAUGCCGUUGAAACUGUCGGACUUGAGUGUAAAUGAGGUAGGCGGAAUGCGUGGUGUAGCGGUGAAAUGCAUAGAUAUCACGCAGAACUCCGAUUGCGAAGGCAGCUUACUAAGCUACAACUGACACUGAAGCACGAAAGCGUGGGGAUCAAACAGGAUUAGAUACCCGGGUAGUCC